UGAGGCAUAUUGGACAAUGGGCGCAAGCCUGAUCCAGCCAUGCCGCGUGCAGGAAGAAGCAUCUAUGGUGUGUAAACUGCUUUUGUACGGGAAGAAACACUCCUUCGUGAAGGAGCUUGACGGUACCGUAAGAAUAAGGAUCGGCUAACUCCGUGCCAGCAGCCGCGGUAAUACGGAGGACCCAAGCGUUAUCCGGAACCAUUGGGUUUAAAGGGUCUGUAGGCGGUUUAGUAAGUCAGUGGUGAAAGCCCAUCGCUCAACGAUGGAACGGCCAUUGAUACUGCUAGACUUGAAUUAUUAGGAAGUAACUAGAAUAUGUAGUGUAGCGGUGAAAUGCAUAGAUAUUACAUGGAAUACCAAUUGCGAAGGCAGGUUACUACUAAUGGAUUGACGCUGAUGGACGAAAGCGUGGAGAGCAAACA
rnacentral:rRNA from 1 species